rnacentral:siRNA from 1 species
CUUACACCAGUUGGCUAUUGGCCG